GAAAUACAUAAAGUAAAAUCAAAAUAUCACAAUCCACAGAUAAAAACAAAAUGCACAAAUCGAAUUGCAAUGCAAACGAAACAAACCUGCGGAUCUUUGGCAUUGUUAAAAAACGGAGAAGCAGUAUGAAACACAGCGUGAACACCUUCAACGGCAGAGUCAAAGGAACCUUCUUCUAGAAGAUUCGCCUUCACGAGAUGCAACCUCUCCUUGGCACCAUCAAGGUUAAGCAAGUGAUCAACCUUACUGGAAUUAUCUGCACAUCACAAAUUAUCCAAACUUUAAUUUUCGAAAUAGUAAUCAGCAUCAGCAUCACCACAAAUAAUCACCGACGAAAACAAAAAGUUAUGGAAGACAAAAGAAAGCACAUACUUGGAUCGCGAACGGUGGCCUUAACAGUGUAACCGCGUUCGAGAAGAAACUUGACGACCCAGGAAGCAAUGUAACCGGAAGCACCGGUGACACACACUACUUGUCCAGCUCCGGUGCUCAUUCUGGAUUAUGUUCUUCUACUCUGAGAUGAUUCUCUCUGUUGAGUGUUGUUGUUCUGUGUUAUGUUGACUCAAUCACAAACAAACUCACCUUUUUUUAAAGAACCAAAAAAAGUUUGCGUUUUCAAUUUGGAAAGGUUUUACUGGGGGCGUUUCCAUCUGAAUAGGUGUCCGUGGGCCAUUUCCAAAUAUAUCCAAAACCAUGAUUUUAAAAUACAGAGUAUCAUAACACGUAUCAUCAUAUAAAUUUUUAAAUUAUGACUUGCAAAUAAAUUUUUCAUCAUAAAAAUAAAAGACAUUUCUAUCAACACUAAACAUAAUGUAGCUAUUAUAAGAAUAUUUUACUAAAAUAAAAUUAAAUAUAUUUUUCGUCUUCUCUAAAAAAAGUCUAUAAUCUAAAUUUUAGAAGUUUUUUUUUAAUAAAAAAAAACUAUUGAAAUGUGAUAAAUAGAUUUUAAUUAUAGAUUAGGAGGUUAGAAUAUUUUGUGUUAAUUUAACGCUAACACGUGUUAAUAUCAUAAUAAGAAAAAACACGGUUAAACUAAAAUCUUAAAAUGAUUCAUUUAGAUUCUAUUUCACGUGGUUGUGGUUGAUAUAAUAUUAUAAUAACAAAAUAGUGAUAAUGAUUCAUUAUAAUAGUUGUUAUUAUAAAUACUCUAAAAUUUAAAUUAAAACAAAACAAAUUUGGUGGGACAAAAAGAAGAUAUUUAAUUCUUAAAACAAAAAUCAUAAGUAGAUAAGGCAAUUAAACUGUGAAACAUAAAUGAAAGAAAGAGACGUGGAUUAAUAGAAAUCCAUAACAUAUUAUUGAGAAUGCGACCCCAAAAGUCUGGGAAGAAGCAAAAAUAGUGUUGAUUUGAAGAGUACAUUGAGCCGUAACAUGCAAGAUUUGGUUAUGUUUAUUUUUUGGUGACGUUGUAUGCAGAUAACGUUUUAGUCUCAACUGUCUAAACUACAAAACAAUAUUAAAUAUCAUAUUGUACUUAUAAAGAUUUAUACUUAGACCGGGUCCAGUCUAGGUAAGAAUGACGCAUUCGUUGACGUUAAGAUUUUAUAAUGUUUUAUGCGCUGCCUUCAAAUUUUAGUAUUCUAUUUCUUUAUUUUUCUAUAAAUAAAUAAAUAAUAAACGAAUAAAUUUUAGUUUAGAGAUUUGUAAGAAAAAUAUUUUGAUUCCUCUAACAUUAAAAUAAUUAAUUUUAAAUUUUUAAUAUUUGUAUUAAACUAAACUAUGCGAUUAAACAAUGAAUAGUUAAAAACACAGGUGAAUUGGUUUAAAGAAUAUUUUCUUAUAUUUUAUGAGAUAAUAGAUUAUUUUUUAUUUAUAAUCGAUUAUAUAUAUAAACAAACAUUUUAAAUUUAGUUAAAAUAAUUAAUUAUUCACUGUUUAUUUGCAAGAAGAAACAUUUUAGAUAUAAUUGAUAUAAUCAGUUAUUUAUUGUUCGUCGACUAUAUACGAAAAUAUACAUAUAUUUUAGAUUUAAUUAACAUAAUUAAUUGUUAAAUUUUUAUAAUCUAUUAUCUACAAAAUAUAGUGAAAUUUAUGCGUGGUUUAACUUUAGGUAAUUGAUUAUAAUUUUAAUAUAAUUAAUUAUUAUGUUUAGAAAAAUAUAAAACCAGUUUUUUUAAAAUUCAAAAUUGUUAAAGAUUAUUUUAAAGAUGGAUUAUUUUUUACAUUUUAUUAUAGUAAAAUAAUGAACAAUUGAUAAAUGAAUCAUCGAUGAUAAGUUCAACACCAUCAAAAUCAAUACAUCAUAGUUUGGUAAAAUUUAAAAGUAUUAAAAUUGUAGUGUACUAUGAUAUCAAGUUACAUAAACACAUCUAGAAGUUCUAUGAUUAAUUAUCAUUUAUUUAUUUAGAAGCAAAUAUUGAGAAUUAAAUUUAAGAAUUAUAAAAAUACAAAUACAAAUUAGAAAAAUAAACUAAUAUUUUUAUAAAAAUAUAUUGGUUUUAAAAUUUAUAGAAAAAUACUAUAAAAAAAGCUUAAUAAUGUAAGAAUUAAAAAUGUAUUCAUACUAAAAGUAAAUAGUUUUGUAACAAUUUGUCUAAAUGGUUAAAGUUCUUAUUCUCAUCUAGUUUAUCAUUUCUCAUUGAUAGAAUGUGUAAAUAUAUUUUCUUGCAAAUUACGAAUCUAAACACAUAGAAGUAAACAUAAAUGUGAGAAAAUUACUUAUAAAAAAGUUUGUCUCUUUUAUGUUCUUUUUCGCUAUUAAAAUAGUUUACAUGUACACUAAAAUGUUUCUAAGCAUACUUUUUUAUGAAUUCUGAGUCCAUCUUACAAGAAUCCCUUAUAGGAGUGUGAUAAAACAAGUAAAUAUUUUUGUCAAUAUUUUUAAUAUUUUUUGUAAUAUUUUAUAUUAGAAUAGAUAAUUAGUUAAGUUUUUUUAUAGCCUUUAAUUAUAUUGAUAGUGUUUUAUAUAAUGAAAUCUUUGAAUGAAAUAAAAUCACAAAAUAAUUUCAUUACUUCUCUCUCCAUUUUUUAAAUGUUACCAACUACUCCCUCUUAUCAACAACUCGUCCCUACCAUUACAUCCAACUCUUAUCUUCUUCCCUUUUAAAUUCAAAAUUUGCACUUUUCAUAACAUGUAAGGUUCUUAUAGCUUAUGUAAGAGAUGCAACUUCCCAACGGAACGUAAAAUAAAUACAUAAAUAAUAAAAGUUUAAAUUCACGAAAGUAUUAGUUUUUUUAAUAUAAAAUAAUAUUAAUAAAAUAUUAAAUUUAUGUGAUUCUGCAUUGUGUUGCAUUUUCUGCUAUGACUAAUGUUUCUUGGAUGUUUUGUAAUAGGUGAAACACUUAUCUUAACAACCAUGGAAAAAUCAGGUUUAAGGUUUCUCACAUUUAUUGUUAAGGGAAUCAAUAUACUAAUAAGGUUGUUAACUUAGGCUUUAUUCAUAAAAAGUAUUUUCAUUGAUAUAAUAAACUUUCAUCUAGUUUUUUAUUAAUAGAUAUAAAUUCCUUAUGUACCGUUUUUGUUAAUAUAUGAGUUUUGGUCUAAUAUUUCAUAUUUUCUUUUAUUUUUCUAAUUUUUUUUUUUAAUAAUAUUUUUUUCCAUAUAAUCACAAAUGAUUGUUGUUUAUUGAAGUGUUAGCCUAACUGAGAUAUCAAGUUCAUAAUGAUAUCUAAUAUAAAAGUUCUAAAAAAUAUUAUUAUUAUUUUUACUAUUUUAUUAUAAUAUAAUAUGAUUAGAAAUAAUUAAUUAUUAUUUACGUUUAUGUAUUUUAAUUAUUUAUUAUGUUACAAUAAAAAUGAAAUAUUUUAUUAUACUUUAUUUGAAAUUAAUCAAUUAUGUAAUUUAUAUAUGUAUUUUUUAUUGGGAAGCGGGAAGCUAAUAAAUUGUAUUUAAUUUGUGGUGAUUCUGCGCCUGAGUUAGUGGUCUUUGGGUCCUUCUUUUUGGUCGGUUAUCGGAAAAAGAGGGUCCAAUAGGGACGAAACAAUUGUAAGAGUACACGUGAUUCACGUACAAUGAAACUAUUGGAUUAUCAACUUUCCACGUCACAUUGCAUGUCUUUUACUCCUUUAUUGAAAGCAACGUUUUAAUUGUAAAAUUGCAUCAGAUCUAUUCCUUAUUUCUGAUAACCAAUAAGUAUAUGGGGAAUGUAUUUGGGUGCAAUUUAAGGCAAAAGCACCAAAAUGCUGCAAUUCCUGUUCAAAAUUAUUAGAAUGGAAAAAGAAAAAGUCAUUGUAGAAAUAGGUAAGUGUUAAGACAAAAGCACAAGUUUGUUUUAUUGAUGUUUUUCUAUAUUUGUGGUGUGGAGUUUGAACAUGAAUUUAAUUAACGACAAAAUGUUAUUGACAUAAACGAUUUUAGUUGGGUAUGUACAGCAAGACUUUAGUUUUGUAAAAGAAAUAUUUUUUUAAAUGAAAUUAUUAAUUAAAUUGUUAAAAAUUUGACAAAUUUUUUAUUUAUUUAUUUGAGAAAGAUUUAGUUAUUUUUUAAUUUAAAAAUUAAUUGAAAAAUAAUGUUAAAAUCCUAAACAAUACACUAUAAAAUAUAAACUUUAAAGAAGAUGUCAGAGGUGAACCUUAAAUCUUAAACUCAAAGAUAAAAACUCUAAAACAUAAAAUGUAAACCGUAAAAUGUAAAACUAGUGUGAACCCUUGAUCAUAAAGUGUGAAACCCUAAAAUUUCAAACACUAAACCCUAGAGCUAAAGUCUAAAGCCUACAAUUAUUUAAGAAAUGAAUGAAAUCAAACUCAGUAAUUUAUAUAUAUAUAUAUAUAUAUAUAAUAAAAAAUUGGCUAACAAAUUGUAUAAUAUAUACUAAGUAAUUAUUUAUAACUAAUUUAAGUUAUUUGUUAUUAAUUAUGUGUAUAAAUUCGUACACAUUCAUUCUUACCCUAUUCUGACAUUCAUCAUUCUUACAGUACAAAUAUUUAUUUACCUUAUUUAAACAUUUCGUCAUGCAUACGAUUAAUAGUUGAUCUUCUUGAUUUCUUAUGUCGAAUGUGGGGGUCUGAGAUUAAAUCCGAUCCACUUUAAUCCUUAUUCCGAACGGGAUGAAAUUUAAUUUCAUAAGUCUUGUAAAUAUAAUGUAGACUAUAGAUUGGGUCAAAGAAUGUCGUUAGUGGUAAAUGACAUGUCGAACAAACAAUGAUAACAUGAGCACAUGGAAGACAGAGAGGUUGAAAUUUUCCACAGUCACACCACUGAUCAUCUAGUUUGACUGUGUAUGACAUAAGUCGACGUCGAAGUUGGGGAGUGACAAGUUCCUGAACAUCAAACUCUUAAUUUUCUCUAUUAUACCUUUGGACAUGAAACAUGAUAGACUGUUGUUCAUUUUUCCAUAGUAAGAUAGUAAUAUCUCCAGGAUAUUGAUGGUCAGUUCGUAACAUGUGUUGUGUCUUGGUCCCUCAUUCAAAAACCAAGAUUUGGUUCUUUCAAAAGUUUUCUUAACUAAAGCACAAAUCGGUAAGAUUCGUACUCCCUUAAGAAUAGAGAUCAUAGACUCAACCAUAUUUGUUGUCAUGUGAUCAUACCUCCUGCCUCCAUCAUAUGCCUGAGUCCAUUUUUCCAAAAGGUAUUUGAUUUAUUCAGGCAAAAGCUUGGUGAAAUUUUGAUUGUAGAGUCUACAACUUUGCCUAUAGAGUUGGUUGUUUCAUUUCAUACCCUAUGACAAUGAAAAAAAUGAGAUUUAAAGUUCAUGUCUUUCAUGAAUAUUGAUUAAUAAAAGGAAAACAAAAUAUAUACCCAUGUUUAUCAACGGUCUCUUCAACUCAACAUUCUUGAAUUUUUUUUAUUGAAAUUUGAUGCAAUGUGGCAUAUGCAAGGAGACCAUCUACUUCCCAGCCAACCUCUAAAGAUUGUAAUGUUGAUACUAUGACCAUUCUUCUAUCAGAUAUCAUGCAUAAAUUUUGUUGUGGUGUCACAUAUGUCUGCAACAAUCGGAAGAACCAUAUAAAUGCUUCCUUGGUUUCACCUUCAACUAUUGCAAAAGCUAAAGGGAAGACGUUUCGGUUCCCAUCUUGACCAAUUGCAGUUAGCAAAGUCUCAUGAUAUUUUCCAGUCAGAAAUGUUCCAUCAACUUGGACUAUAUGUUUGUAGUAAUUGAAGUCAUCAAUGCAUGACUUGAAAAUCCAAAAUACACGUUCCAUGAUGUAACACAAAGUGUCUUAAACAUCGUCUACAACAAAAGGUCGGGUGACAUAUUGGACAAUUGUGCCCGAGACACUUUCUUGUACAACCUGCAACCAUUUUGGAAGAUGAUUAUAUGAUUCAUCACAGUCAUCAAAUUUCAUGGCAAGCGCCUUUUGUUUUGCAAUUCACGCUUUUUUGUACAUGACAGAAUAUCCAUAAUGACUUUUAAUUUCUGCAAUUAAACGUCUUAUCGGGAUAGAUGGAUUUGCCUUCACAGAGUUCAUGACAAUAGAUGCAAUUUGGGUUGAGUCUAAAUUGAUGUGAUUAUCAAAAAAGUCGUUGGCAAACAUGUAUGGGGAGCUUGAAUUUUUUUAUCUCCCACCGAUCACAAAUUUCAGUAAAGGAUGCUCUAAGCAUUGGCAGUUGUUGUUGUAAUGAAUGCAACGUGCUACAUAUCGAUCCGUCUUGGACUCAACGACGAAAAACUUAUAACCUUGAUCAACGUUGUAUUUUUUUUAUUGCGGUCAAUAUAGACUCUUUGUUACAAAAAUACAUCCGUUCAGAAAGGUCAUAUUGAAUUAAUCGUCCCGAUCGACUAUCCAAAUGAGCUUGGUGGCUUAAUGACGUCAAAAAAACAAUUUCAUCGGAUAACUCCUCAACAUCUUCGUCUUCACUAAAUUCGUGAAUCAUAUCUAUGAUUAUGUGCUCUUCCUGAAUGGUUAUAAAACUAUUUAUUUAUAGGUUAUAUAUAUAUAUAUAUAAAUAAUAAUAUUAGAAGUUAUAAUAUGGUUUUUAUAAAAAAUAUCAGUCAUUAAUAUAUCAUUAUCCUAUGUACAUUAGAAUAAUCCUCCUAUGUAAAUGAGGAUAGUAAUUCCAUUCAAUGUUGUGCUUUGAAAUCAUGUAGUGCCAAUUGCAUCUCCACAUUGUCAUGGUCAUAUAUUCAACCAAAGUACUUCUGAAAUUAUUUCUCAAUUGACUAACAUAUAUUGCUUUAGGUGUUAGACUUUUAAGAUACUCUUUAAUAUUUUUAAAUAGUGUAUAAUUUAGGAAUAGAAAUGUUAACAUUAUUUUCAAAAUUUGGUAAACUCCAUCAAGAAAACACAGGUCAGGAUAUUCAUGAAAUUCUGUCCUGUGUUCUUCAAUUCAAAGUCCAGGUCCAUGUGAGUUCAGUGCAGUGUAAGUGGGGACCACGCCAAAUUUUCUCUUUCUAUACAUUUUUUGUCAUUAUUCUUUAUUAUUCUUAAUACUUCAACCAUAAUAUUUUUUAAAUUUUAUUUUAUUAAAUAAACCAAGUAACUACUCUACAAAUGUUAAUUUUUCUUUUAUUAAAUGGUGUGCUUUUUAUUAAAAUUCAUCAUUUUCUCUGUAAGUAUCUGCCUUUUCUUUUAAAACAAUUAUAUUUAAAUUUUUACCAUUCUCUCACGACUUCACAUUGGUCUUCGAUUUUGAAUGGCACAGGUGCAGAGAGUGUGGCCAGUUUUCUGAUGCAGUGGUUCACAAUGAAAAAAUUAUUUUCAUUUUAUUUAGCAGCUUUAAAGAUGACUUGCAGAGAUUUCAAACUCUGUUAUAGAUUGAAAAAAUUAUUUAUAAAAUAAAAUUUGUGCUGACUUAUAUAUUAUGUUUUAAUUUUUAUUUGAUGUGGAAUUUAAAAAGGUGUAUAAACUUUACAGAUGUAAGACACAUUGCUUGGAGGCUUCUGAUAUAAAUUUCAAAUAUAUAUAUNNNNNNNNNNNNNNNNNNNNNNNNNNNNNNNNNNNNNNNNNNNNNNNNNNNNNNNNNNNNNNNNNNNNNNNNNNNNNNNNNNNNNNNNNNNNNNNNNNNNAUAUAAAUUGAUAGAUAUUGAUGUGAUAGAUGAUGACAUGAAUAUAGUAAGAUGUAGUGUCGGUUAGUGAAGGUUCUAGAAUAGAAAUAGUCAACGAAGAAAUGUAUGUAUAUUGAUAACUAAUUUUUUUACAAUUUUCUAACAUUAUUAUUUUAAUAAUUUUUAUAUUAUUUAAUUUUUUAUAUCUUUUAUUAUGUAUAUUUAUUUUUAAAUUCAUCACAUUAAAAAUUUUAUACUCAAAGUAUCAUUUUCCAUAAAUAUAAUAUAAUUUCCGCAUAAAUCGUGGCAUUAAUAUAAUAAGGUGGAGUGUCUUUUCAGUGAAGUAUUUAUUUAUACUAGGAAUCAUGAAUCUGUAGUGAAUAUCCUGUGUGCUUCCUAGCAGCUGCAGAAUUAGACCGUCUUACACAAAAUAUCAGUGAUUAAGGAUCUGGCUUUUGUUGUUGCUAAUGUCCCAUGCUUAUAACCAAACAAUCUUAGGCUUCUAGUUAUGUGAAAUUUAAGGUUAAUCUUAUAAAAUUAGUUUAUAGUAUAAAGUUUAUAUCUAUCUAUAAAUUAUAAAAUAUUCUAAUAUUUAGUGGAUGUAGAAUCUUCAAUACACCUUCUACACAUUGUUGUUUUAGACUAUAUAUUAUGGAUAAUCCAAUGAUGAUCUAAUAAUAGGUGAUAUGAUAAGUCCAACAAACAUUCGUCAAUUAUGAUAGAAUUUAAAUGAUUUUAAUACCAUAUUAAAAAAACUUUAAAUCUAAUUCAAUUUUAUAAAAUUAGUUUAUAAGAUAAAAUUUGUACCAAUUUAUAAACUAUAAAAUGUGAUAUUUUUAGUCUAUAUGACUUAUUUGGUGCUUCGUGUAGAGACUGUUAGAUAUGAAAAGUGUAUAAAUAAGUACAAAGAAUUAAAAAUGAUGAGCAAAGUUUAAAAUGAAUGUUUCUUAUGGUUAUAGUAAAAUUUGUACAAUUAUAAUGUGUGAGGUCUAUGUGUUGGUUAGUUUGAUGUAAUAAAUUGGGAAUCAGUUAAUUCAGUUUUGAAAUUUAUUUGAGGUAACAGUCAUUGUAACUGGUUUUCUACUUGUGGGGUCUAAUUUGUAUAAUGGAUAUCAUCAAAACCUAAUAAUAUCUACAAGGACUAUUUUUCUUCCUGCACCCUAUUUUUUUCCCCACAACUUUUACAACAACCAGUUUUUAAGAUUUCUGAAUUAUUAAUAAUGGAGUUUUUCAAAUUCAAAUUUUUAUAAAAGAAUUUCUGGAAUAAAAUGUUUAGAAUGAGAUUUCUAAAACAAUAUUUUUAUUUUUUUUAUUAAUAAUAAAUUAAUUAAAUUAAACGAAGUAUUAACGAAAUGUUUAACCCUUUCAAAGAAACUCUCAAAACUUUUACACCUUACAGAUAAGUUAUAAGUUAUAACUUUUACACUCUCAAUAUUUGAAUUUUAUAAGUUAUAAAAUAAUAGAAAAUAAAAUAAAAUACCAUAUGUUUAUCAUACGAAGAAGGUUGUGAGUAGUGAAGUUUGUUUUAAUAAUUAAUAUCAUUCAUUAAUUUUACACGCAUUAUAGAAAAAUAAUAAAAUAUUAAUUUUAAUAUAUUUUAUGAUUAAUACACACUAAUAUAUUAGAAUAAAAUAUCAUAUGUAUAAAGUAAAACACAAGUCCUUUUCUCAUUCAUGUUUCUCUACACCAUUGCAACGCCCCUUCAAGCACCAUCAAUGACCGAUUUUAAAACUGUUUUUGAAAUAAUAAAAUAUAAAAAAUAAGAUAAAUUGGUCAUACAUAUAUCUAAAUUUUAUUUAAAUAUAUAAAAAUUAUAUAAAAUAAUAAUAAUAAUAAUAAUAAUAAAAUAUUUUUUUAUCAUGUUAAAGUAUAAAUAAAAGUUUUAAUCAUUAGACAGUAAAUAUAAGAUGAUAUGGAUGAUUGUACAUAUAUUUAAACAACUCUUUAACCUCUUUAAUGUAUAUAAAAGUAGUAUAUAUUAUACAAUUACAUUAAAAGAAUGGAUAAAAACUUAACUAAAAGACUUGCUAAAUGGGAAGUUCUUUUAUAAAAUUACAUAUAAAAGAAGGCACCAAGGAUGCAAUUUAAUACAUUUUACUAAGACAGUGAUAUGACAUGAAAUAUGCAGAUUCAGAAAAUAUGAGUAUGUGAAGAAAAUUGGAAAGGGACAAAAGUUAUUUGGUUGCUGAGUUUUUUUGGCAGUGGUAGGGAAUGGAAAAACAGUUUUAACAUUAUUUUCGCAAAUUUUAACCAUUUAUUAUAGAAGAAGGGAAUCUAACUAUAUAGAGAUUAAAUUCCCAACUACUUUUUUCUUGUUUUCGUUACUAAAAUCUUAGUACAAUUUCGUUUUUGGGAAGAUUGGUUUCUCGAAGAUGAAAUUCCGGAAAGUUUUUUAUGUUUUUUUUUAAAUAAAAGUUUUUAUGUUAGACAUUAUUAUGCAACUUACAUCUCAGUUAGGUUGACACCUCCAAAUAACAACAAUCAUUUGUCAUCACAUAAAAAAAUAUUAUUAAAAAAAAUAAAAACAAAAAUAUAGAGAAACUAUAUUAAAAUGCAUAGGUUAAAAAAACACAAUAUAUAAGUAUAUUAUACCUAUUCAUAAAUAAUUCUAAGAACAAACUAUAUGGAAACCUAUUACACCAAUGAAAUUAUUCUCUAUGAAUAAAUCGUAAAUUAGUCAUCUUAUCAGCACGUACAUUCUCUUCACGAAAGAUAUAAGUAACCUUAAACUUGAUUUUCCCACAUUAAUUAAGACAAGUAUUUCAUCGAUUACGAAACAUCCAAAGAACAUUUGUCCUAGCAGUAAACACAUCAUAAAUCAAGGCAGAAUCACAUUCUAAUCUGACAUUAGUAAGCCCCAACUUUUGAGCUUCUUCCAUAGCAUCUAUAACUUCAUAAAACUCAGCAACCAGAGCAAUCUAAAUUUCAAGAAACGCAGAGAAAACUCCAAUAAAUUCCUCCAUACUCUCACGAAAAAUACCUCCACAAGUAGUAAGAUUAGGAUAUCCCCUAGCAACCCCAUCAGUGUUAAUUUUAAUCCAUCCUGAUGAAGGAAACUCCUAUCUAACAGGAAGAUGACAAAGCUUUACAAGUACAAGUAUUAAUACCAAAAAACUUAAUCACGUUGAAAUCCAACAUACCAUUCUUUAUUGAAGUUUUAGACGAAUUUCCCACUAGACAAGUUAAAUCUUUAAUAACCGAAAUAGCCCUAAAAAUCUCAAUCUUAUCCUGAAAAACGAGCAUAAUUCCUCAUACGUUAUAACAUCCAAAUAGAAAAAGUUAUAACAUCCAAAUAAAAAAAGUUAUCACAACAAGUUUAAUCAAUUUAACCAAAUGACUACCAUCACUCUUAAUGAAAGAAAGAAGAUCAUCCUUAUUAGAUAAAUGAUAGAAAAAAUUUGUCGAACCCAACUCCAAAUAUGCAAAACAUUAGAACAUUCAAAAAAUAAAUGUUGAAUAAAUUCCUUGUUCUUUUCACAAAGUGUACGCAUAGAACAAAUAGGAAGCCGCCUAUGAAAAACUUUCCAAAGUACAAGAGUUUUGGAAGGCAGAAUAUAUAAAAACCAAAUAAAUUUACCCCAACCACAAGAACUCAUGGUUCCAAGAAGAAAGGUCAAGCUGAUUUAAAAGUGAAACGAUCAGACUCAUCUAGAAUCCAAUUAGGAAUAUCUUGUUCCCCUGACCUGAUAUCGCUAAAAAGAUUAGACAUCUACGAUAAAGACAAUGAAAUAUUUCAAUCACAACCUGUCCAAAAUUGAGAAACUGUAUCCAAAAUGCUAGCACCAUCAAAUAUCUCUGCAAUAUUUGCUAAAGAAGUAGUAGAACACCAUUUAUCAUUCCAGAAAUUAAUAUUUUAAUUUAAUGUAUAUUUUAAAAUUUGAAAUUUGAGUUGAAAAGAGUUGGACACAUGGAUUGCACAUCCAAUUUCAUUUAUUUUAGAUUUUUAUUUAAGUAGAAAAUAAAAUAAUUUAAGAUUUUAUAUUUAUUUAGAAUUUUGAAAACCUUAAAAAUUUUAUUUAUUUGAGAUUUUUAUUUAAAUAAGGAUUUGUAUUUAUUUAAAAUUUUGAAUAAUUUAGAAAUUUUAUUGUAUUUCAGAUUUUAAUUUACAUAGCACAUUAAAUAAUUUAGAAUUUCUGUUUAUUGAGAUUUUAAAUAAUUUAAAUAUAUAAAAUUUCUAAAUUAUUUAAAAUUAUAAAUAAAUAUAAAUCCUAAAUUAUUGGAUAUUAUACUAAAUAAAAAAUUUACAGUAAAUAAAAUUUAAAAAUUAUUCAAAAUGUCAUGAUUUUGUCUUUCAAUAAACCUCUCCACAAAUAUUUGUAGAGAAGAAAAGAAACAAAAUUAAAUUUAGUCAUAACUCGUGUAAAAUUAAUAUAGAAAACUUCUAUAAUUAAUUGAAUUUGUUUAAAUUAAAUUUUCCAAGAAAACAAUUUUAGAAGAAAAGUAUAAAAAUAAAAUAAAUCUGUUAAUAAACUAAUUUAUAAAAAAAAAUCGUAUUAGCUUCUACAAAAUCUAAUCCUAAAUUUAUGUAUAAGUUUAUUGCAAUUUAUGAAAAAAUAACAAAUACCCAGUUCAGUAAAAAUUGCUAAAAGACUGGUUUUAUAAUUAACAGAAAAUCUACAUUCCAACUUCAAAAUUAGAAUAUUAUAAUUUAUAAUCAAUUAAUAUUAUAGAAAUGUAGAACAAUUUAGUUUAAUUGCCAAAGAGUACUGACUAAAGAAUUUAUAAAAGAAACAUAAAGAAGUACAAUAAUUUAUAAAAGAAACAAAGAAAAUAAAUAAAAAAACUUAAAAGAAACUAAAAGAAAAUAUUAAUAAAAGUGAUGAGCAGUACAUCCAAGAAAACCAGAAGAAAGUUAUUUCUCUAACUUCCUGAUUUCAUUGAAGAUUUUAUCUCAAGUGUUUCUAACGCAGGAGCAUAUUCAGUUGUUAUUUUCUCCCUGAAGGCUUCGGCCCGGCUGAUCUCCAUUAAUAUUUUCCUCUCUCAUUUUCUCAGGAACAGACGUCUCUAAUCCUGUUCUUGGCAACUCAGUAUCCCAACUUUUAAAUUGGCGAUCAAAUUAUAUGUAAUUAGUGUAGGUAAUAUUGUACCAUAUGUACUCAUAUGUAAUUAUAUAUAAUUAAUUUAAUAAUAAUAAUAGAAUCUCUUAAUUAAAUUCAGUAUCUCAAUUCAGUAGUGUAAUAUAAAAAAAAAUAUAUAAUUAUUCUAAAUUUUCAAUUUUAAAAUGAACACUCAUUAAUUAAACAAAAAAAAUUAAUAAUUACAUUAAUAAAAUAAUUAUAUUAUUAUUUCUAUUUAUAAAAUUUAAAUAUUCAAAUUCUCAUUAAUAAAUCAAAAUUUGGAUUAUUAUAAUAUAUCAAUUUGAUUCUAUUAUUUAUAUUUUUAUAAUUUAAAUAGAUUUUGUAUUUAAAUUGAAUUUUAUUUAUUAUACUAUAAGAAAAUAAGUAUAAUUUUCUCCUCUCUAUAUAAAAGAUUUCUCUAUUUAGAAUUUAAAUAUUUUCCAUUCAUAUUAAGAUAAGGUUUUGAAUGUUUUUAUUAAAUUUAAAAAUAAUUUUUGGCUUCAUUAUAAGUUUGGUUCUUAUAUUUUAUUUUAAAAUUUCUAGAUUCAGAAUUAUUGUUUUGUAUUUUUACUUUUUAAUUAAAUUCAAACGACUCAUUAAUUCAACAUAACAUUACGCGGAUCUUGAAAAUUUAAGCUUUUUGAAAUGUAGAUUAAACUUUACUUUUAUUCCCACUCCAACAAUUACUAUUCACACUCCCCUUCUCUUUUUAUAUUUUAAUUAUACAUGCUCGGAUAAGUAAUAAUAGUAACAAAGUAAAAGUUUACAUUCCAACUAUCCAUGAUUUUGUAUGUUACAGUGCUCAAAAGUGAAACUUCGAUAUAACCAUCAAAACAAAUAUAAUGAAAACUGAAAACUACAUCACAUAUAUCUUUGAGGACUUUCAUCAAACAAUUAACGGACAUUAGUAUUUAAUUAUUUUUAUAAUUACUUUGAGGAUUCACUAGUACACUACACCAAGAAUAAUGUGUUCUAAUAUCAUAGGAACAAAUCGAGAGAAGCAGAUUAAACUCUUUUUUUUAUUAAAGUUAGAAACAGAAUACACUUACACAGAAACUUAAAUUACACAGAAAUUUAAAGCUAGAAACAUAAACUACUUAUAAACAGAUACUACUUAAAGAAACUAAAACUAUUUACUUAGCUUCUUGAUUUCUGCGUAGAUCUUACGUCUAUCUCCAAUUGCAUAUAUUCCUAUUGCUUCUAAAUUUCCAUUUCGAUAUGUUAUUAGGGGAAGUGCUUUUUCAUCGAUAUGAUGUUUCUCGAACUCAGGAGCAUAGUGACUCAGCUCUAUCUCUAUAUUGGAAGUGUGUUCCAUAAACACCAGAAGUGUGCUAGAAGUUUCUGGAGAAUAACAGAAACUUUCAUUUUUUUGGCACCAGUUAGUAGAACAAUCCAGAACACCACCUUUUUUUUUUUGCUUCUACUUUAAUUUAAAUAUAAAAUAUUACUUACAUUACUUGUUUUAAUUUAAUAAUAACGCUUAUUUUAAUACUUAUUCUUUUAAUAAAAAAAUCAUUUUGUUUAUAAUUUUAAAAAGUUUAUAUUUAAACUUUAACUAUUUUUAAUUCUAAUCUAUGUAAUAUUUUAAACAAAAUAUUAAGAUGUCAUUCACUAAUGUUUAAAAAUAUUUUUAGUUUCCAAAAAAUUUAGAAAUUUUGCAUUUAGAUCCUAACAUUUUUUAAACUUUUGGUUGCUUCUAAUACAUUAUAUGCAUUGACAUUAUUUCAUGAUUAAAAACACAUAAUUUGCUGAUGAUAAAAAAAUUGAAAAACUAAAAGAAAUAUCUACAGACAUUUUAAAAAUUACUUUAAAAAAAUAAUAUAAUAAUAAGAACGGAGUAUAAAUAAAUCUUUUCAAAGACUAAAUACAAAAAAUGUAUAAACAUUUUAAGAAUAAAAAAAUACAUUAACAACUAGAUACAAAGUUCGAAAAUUUUUUAGAAAUUAAAACAUCUUUAAAUCUUAAAAAUAUUAAGAAAAUUAAUAUCUUUCCUAGAUAUAUAUUUAGAAAUUAAAGGGGUCUAAAUGAAUUUUAUUUAAAAUUUAUUGGAUGCAUGAGCAAAAGUGUAUGAAUUUCAUUAUACGCAUCAACAAAGAGUAUAAAUUUUAAUGUAUGCAUAUGAUUCAAGUUAUAAAAGUUAAAAACAUUUUUCCCAAUAUUACUGUUUGUUCUAACUCCUAAUCAAAUAUAUAUAUAUAUAUAUAUAUAUAUAUUAUUAUCAUAUGAUUAUUUUACUUUAUUCAAUUUUAAUAAAUAAAAUAGAAACUAACCAAGUCAUUUAAAGUCAAGGCAAAUGUUUUUCUAAAUUAUACAUUUUCCUUUGCAUGAAUAAACCCACACAAAUAAUAAAAUGAUGAUAAUAUAUGUAUUGUCUAAUUACUGAUGCCAAAAAUCAUUUUCACCUACAAAAUCGAUCUUUUAACCAUUACUCCUCUCGGAGUUUUAAUUUGAUACAAAUUUUUCCUGUAAUAUAUCAUUUUUUAUAUGCGACUGAAUUAAUUUUUUAAAUCCAAUUUUACUCUUGUUACGUAUUUGUUUACAAAUGUUAAUAUUCAGAAGUCACAUAAUUAAUUAUGAAUAUUGAUAUCCGGAAGUGUCAACUUUGCAUAUGGAUAUUGGCAUUCGGAAGAGUCAGCUUUGUCUAUGGAUAUUGGCAUCCGGAAGUGUCAGUUUUACCUACGAAUAUUGGCAUCCGGAACUAGCACUCUUUGACUACGGACAUCUUUAUCCAGAAGGCACCAUCAUGCUUCCGGAUAUACAUAUCUGGAAGCAAAUCAUCUUGAACUUUAUGUUUGGGCAGUGUGAUAUUUUGCUACUUUUAAUGGAUUAAAACCAUUAAACCAAACCAAACACUAAUUUGAUCAUGCGCAAGGUCGACUACCAGUAAGGCAUAGUAAGGCUUGCAUGAUUUGGUGUAGAAAAUUUUACUUAUCAGUAUUCUUUUGUUCAUUGCUAAGAGUUAAGAUAUCAUGCAUCAAUUGACUCGUCCUUAGGUUUUGACGGAAGGAAGAUCGUUUUGGCCUCUUGGAAAAAGGUUAGUGAGCCUCGCGAUAUCGGGGUAUUGGAAUUAUGAUCUAAGGAUUUUUAACUUGGCUUUGUUAGGAAAGUGGAUUUGAAGGUUGGGUUCGGAUAAGAGUGGUUAAAAGGUUAAAAGACGACGGUUAUUUUCAAUUUUAAACGGCGCGCAUUUGAUGUACACGUAGUCUUAAAUCCAAUAGAUAAGAAUAUGGCUAUUUAGCCGCAUUAGUAAAUACGAUUUAUAAAUGCGACUAUUGUAAAUAGCCGCAUUCUUAUUUAAAAAAAUAAAAAAAAUAAAAAACGCUAAAUCCUAAACCUUAACCUAAACAUUAAAAUAAAAAUUUAAAAUUUAAAACACCAUCAACCUUGUGCGUGAAAGGCAGCAACGACGACAACAGUGGAGGCAGCAACAGCAGCGGUAGCAGACGCGACAACAGAGACAUAAACGACGGCGGCAGCAAACGCGAAGACAGCGACGGAGCAAAGCAAAAACCCACACAAGUAGUAACAAAAUGCAAUAAACACAAAGUAAGAGAAACGAAAAAAUUUAUAAACCAUUAGUGAAGAAGAAAGAGAGCUCCAACGAACUUAUAAUGACACGAGAAGACAAUGAAGCUCGCAAAAGAAGAGAGGAACACCAUAACAAAAACGAAGAGAAAACGCAAAGCGCUAAGAAAAAGAAAGUAUGAAAGUGUAAGUGACGCGCUUCAGAAUUAGAGUAAAAAAUGAUUUAAGUAUACGGCUAUUACAAAUAACCGCAUUCGUAAAUGAAGUUAAGUUUUUAAUAAAUUCUACUUUAUUUCAUUUAAUAUCUUUAUUUAUUAGGAAGAAAUUGGAUAUUAACCAUAUGCUUUUAAGAUGAUAAUGUCUAUAAGACAAUUGAGCUAAAUUUAGAUAUUAAAAUAAGAAAGUAGAGUAUGAAAGCAUAAGAGAAGUGUAAACCACACCAAGAAUAACUUAUUUCAGUCUGAUUAAGUCUCAUUUUACACUAAAAUUUAUUCAUAAGCAUGAUCAUAAGAGAAGCCAAGUGAACAACUAAUAAAGGUUUCCACGUUUCUUGAAGGGUCACAAACUUAAAACUUGACGAAGUUCUUUUCCUUCAAGCUCUCCACAGUAUCCUUGAUGCUCACUUCCAAAGGAAUAUAUUCAAUCCCCAAGCUCUUUGCUUUUUCCUUCGAAACCUGAAAUGCUGGAUCAUAUGGCUUAUCAUCUACGCACCUGGUAAUAUUGUUCACAAAGUGAAACCAUAUUAGACGACUAACAUAUAACAAAAGGAAAAACUUACUUUACUAACAAACAAGAUGGUUUAAACCUUCUGAUAGAAGAUUAGACGGUCUAAUGUAAACAAACAGACUAGACUAGACUGUCUGCUGUUGAAUUGAAUAAACUGACCAGACUGUAUGGUGUAAAACCGUCUACACCGAUUUUAUCACCAGUGCUGAAUGCAUUUCUGACACCAAAUUCAGUUUUCAAGCAAGUAAAUAAAGCACCAAAUGGUAAGGUACAACAGAUGCGGACUUAUGUUCACGUUCUACAUAAUUGUUUGCAAUCUUGAAACUACCAAAAUAAUUAUACUCACUUCUCUGGAAGUUGCAAUGUUGGGUACAGAUCACGUAAAAUCUUCACAACGUUUGAGAAGUGUGUCACUCUCUCAACUAGCAGAUAUCUUCCAUUAGCUGAAGCACUCUCAUACGCUAGAACAUGGGCCAUUGCAACAUCUCUCACGUCCACCCAUCCCAAAGUUAUAUUUUUAAAUGUUGGCGAACCUAAAUCGAGGAGAUGGAACAGUUUCUUCAAUUAUCUAAGAAUUGUUCAGCCAAGAAUCAUAACACAGGUUGUUGAAAAAUCAUAACAUAUUAUUAGUCCUCUCUUUCAUAUUCCAUUUUAAUGUAUGUUUUUUAUUUGAUCCAUAACAUUAACAUAGUUUGAGUUGAAAAAAAUUAAUCAAGAUGCAGGCAAAUCAAAUAAUAGGCAUUUUAGAGAAUAACGUAUAAACAGUAAUUACCAUCAACUAAAUCUAAGACCAUAGCAGAACUAGUGUUAAGUUCUGGUUGCAAGAGAGGUCCAACAACCAAUGCCGGGUUCAUUGUAACCAAGUCAAUGUUGUUUUCUUUCACAAAUUUCCAGGCAGCAUCUUCGGCCAAAGUCUUUGAGAGGUUAUACCAUAUCUAAAACAUAAAUUGGAAAUAGCAAGAAAUAUGAAGAACAAGGUAACAUAAUAUACAUGACUAACUAUAACACUUUGAUGACUUUUGAAUAAGUGAACAAGGAGUGCAUAAUCUCAAAAUUACAACAAACAUAAUUUAGUCAUAAGAAGCAAUAUCUAGUCUUCACAUGGGAUGCAACUAAAAUAAUUGUUGGUGUUUACUUAUGCUUUGUUUAAGAAACCUACUACUCAGUAUUUUUGUAGUUGUCCGCUAUGCACCUCUAUCCGGGAUUUUAAACCAUUGGCUUUAACAUCAAAAUUUAAUAGGAAAAACAUUAGCCAUAUUGCGGAAAGCUUUUGUGCACUAAGAUGCUUUGGAAAGCAAAGAAUAGAAGACAUUCUCAUAUGAAAGUUAUUGGUUGUGAUCCUCGUGAGAUACUUUGUUCGAUUUUUUCAUAAAUGGUGUUAAUUAAGCCAAUGGUUUCUUUGAAGGAUCUGACUCACAUAUAUAUGUGGAAGUAAAGAGCAAUGUUGCAUUUAUAUUUUUCUUUUAAUAUACGUAUUGCAACUUCCAGAGAAGUGAGUAUAAUUAAAAAAAAAACUGGUUAUACUUUUUAGGCCUUGUUAUACCAACUACUACACUUUUUAAGUUUUUCAAUUUAUGACUAGUUCAUACAGUUUGAUAUAACAACUCAAGAUGCAAUACAUCUUAUAUGAGAACUAUGAUUUUCUUCUUUCUCUUGACUUUUGCAAUAUGGGGGAUUGUUGUGAACUCUAAGUAUUACAAAAGUCAAAUAGUGAAACUAGUGAAGUGAGUAUUACACUAUGAUUGUCAGUUUUACGCAUGAAGUUAUGGACCUCAUUUUGGCGUUCCGUGCACGGUUCAAUAUUUUUAGACAGUUAGUGAAUGCAUAGCACAACGGUAUAUCUCAAUCUUCAAAAACAAUUAAUUGUUAUCUUCUAAAAAGCACAAAACUUGAUCAUACCAACUAUUUGUGUGAUUCUUCAAAGAAGUUUCAUCUCGGUAAUAAGGAUUAACAUGUAAAGAAAGUUUAUUAGGGGAAACAGCACAUACCCCAUUUUCCUUACAGUAUUCUGGGUCGGAAUACCAAGUCUCGUCAACCACAACAUCAGGGGUUUUAGGCCUGUAGUUGAACGAAACUGCAGCAAUGGAAGAAGUUAAAACGACGCGUUUCAGCGUGGGCGACUUCACACACGAUUUCAGAACAUUCAGAGUCCCCUUCAAAGCUGGAUCCAGCAACUCAACCUGAAAUACAUAAAGUAAAAACAAAAUAUUAUACAGCCACAGAUAAAAAGAAUGCGCAAACGGAAUUGCAAACGGGAACAAACCUGCGGGUCCUUGCUCUCGUGAAAAAAGGGAGAAGCAGUGUGAAACACAGCAUGACAACCUUGAACGGCAGAGUCAAAGGAACCUUCUUCUAGAAGAUUCGCCUUCACCAGAUGCAAUCUCUCCUUGGCACCAUCAAGGUUAAGCAAAUGAUCUACCUUUUUGGGAUCAC
rnacentral:lncRNA from 1 species